CUCCGUGCCAGCAGCCGCGGUAAUACGGAGGGUGCAAGCGUUGUUCGGAAUUAUUGGGCGUAAAGCGCGUGUAGGCGGUCUUUUAAGUCUGAUGUGAAAGCCCCGGGCUCAACCUGGGAAGUGCAUUGGAAACUGGGAGGCUUGAGUACGGGAGAGGAGAGUGGAAUUCCUAGUGUAGGAGUGAAAUCCGUAGAUAUUAGGAGGAACACCGGUGGCGAAGGCGGCUCUCUGGACCGAUACUGACGCUGAGACGCGAAAGCGUGGGUAGCAAACAGGAUUAGAUACCCUGGUAGUCCACGCCGUAAACGAUGAGUACUAGGUGUUGCGGGUAUUGACCCCUGCAGUGCCGUAGCUAACGCAUUAAGUACUCCGCCUGGGAAGUACGGUCGCAAGACUAAAACUCAAAGGAAUUGACGGA
rnacentral:rRNA from 1 species